GGCAUGGGGCUGAAGGCCAGGGUGGGGUUGGAUGCCCUGUGCUAUAUCUGUGUAACCCCCCCUAGUCUGUCUUCACCUUGACCUCCAACCCUUGACCUCACUCUGGACCCCCAGCCCAAAGCACCUGUGAGGCUGUUGGGAUCCUCUGCUUCUGCUUCCUUGACUCCAGGCCUUACUUGACCUUGGACCCCACCCUGUCCCUAAUUCCUGUCCCCUGUGUGGGGACAUCACCAUGCUUCCUUGGUGACGGGUAUGACCCUCUGACUCCUCAGUCUGACCUUCUAUCUCUGGACCCCCUUCCCUGACUUUUGACUCCUCCCCAAAGCACCGGUGAAGCCGUAAUCAGCCUUUGCUCCUGCUUCCUUCACACCAGUGACUGCCCUUGACCUCUGACCCCCACCCCAAAGCACAUAAGGCUAUUGGGGUCCUUGACCUCUGCGAUCUCCCUUGACCCCCAUACUCUAACCCCACUCCUGUUUCCUUGAUGCUUGGUGCCAUAACCCCAAACCUUUGACCCCUGACCCUGUGUGUCCUGGCAGCCAGAUGCAGCACAGCUUCACCCAGCAGGUCACAGCCCCGCCCCAGUGCAGGGCCAAGGACCAGCUGCCUGCCCACUGUGGCAUCAUGUUUCGCAGGUGUGGGUGAGACCUACAGCCAGGGAACAAGGCCUGGGUAGAGAGGUGGAGCCUAUAGGAGAGGGGCUGGGGUCUGGGUAGAGUGACUGGGCCCUGGUGAAGGGAGUACAGGAGCUUUGGGACAUGGCCUAGGCAGGUGGGUGGGGCCACAAGGCUUGGGGGUGUGGCCCAAAGUGAAGGGCAGGGCCAGGGACCUUGGGGUGUAGCGGAGGUUGAGAGGCAUGGCCUGGAUCGAGGGGGCAGGGCCAUGGGGCUUGGGUGUCUAGCCCUGGCUGAGGGGUGGGGCCAGAGGGCAUGAAGUCAUGGGGCUGGGGCCUGAUUGGAAAGGUAUGGCCACAGGAUGUGGGGGCAGGCCCAUGGUGGCUGAUUGAGGGGUAGGGGUGGGGCCUGAGCUCAGGCUCUGCCCCCAGUGCCUGCCCUCUGUCUGGUUCAGGCCUCCCUGUAGGAUGGGGGGAGGAACUCACUCUAAGGUGGGGCACCCUCAAAUCUCAGCCUUUUUUCCCCCAUAGAUGGAGUUUGUCUGUGCCAUCCCCUCGGCCUGAUGAGGGGUCCAUCCAAGACGGCAGCCACCAGGUGCCAAGACAGCCAGCAAAGAUGCUAGACUCCGGCACCCGGAGCCUUCAGUCUUCUGCCUCUGCCCGAGUGCCCCCCUGCCCCCAACACCGCCUCCUAGAGUCCCACCCUAGGGUGCCCACUUCCUGUUGGGGUGAGGGGUCAGGGGUCCUGGAACUGGAGGUGGGGGUGGUGUGGGGCAGGCUUUUGUUUCUUUAUUAUUCAUGUUUUCUUAAUUAGGAAAAUCCAAUUAAGUGUGGGGGGGCAGGUCUGGGAACUGCCCCUAGCACCCCCAGCCCAUAGGGGGCAGAAGGGUGGGGCUUAGCCCCUGCCCCCCAAACUGGGCUGGGCACAGUGGCUCUAGCGCCCCUGCCAUGUGCUCCACCACCUUUGUGCGCUGGCCCAGAAUGCCCCUGCGGGAGGGAGAGACGGGUGCACUCUGCACUGCCCCCCCCACUAUAUUUCUUAUUGAUACUUAAAAACAAAACACCCCCACUCCCUUUCAAGACUGGCUCAGGAGGCUUCUAUGAGGGUGGCCAUUUUGGAGCUCAUCGUUGGGUGGCUCGUGGAUGGGUUUUGGGGGGUGGGGGGAGAGGAAACAUGAGCUGUUGCGUGGGGGGUUCCUCAAGCAUGACACCAAAGGGUCCUUAGCCCCCCCCCCAGCCUGCACACCCAUGCCCAGAGUGCCUCACUCCACAGCAGGCUUCAGUGGAGGGUGUAGGCCUCGCUGGCUGUGCUGAGGUCUUGUGGGUUCCGCAGCCAAUAGCACCUAGUUUUUGGGGGCACAGACCCUCUAAGUUGUUUGCGGGGGGUCACGGGAGGCUCCCUACCCCCCAUUGGUUGUAUUUUCUUGGCUUAUGUAAUAAAAUAUAUUUCUUCCA